UACGUAGGGACCAAGCGUUGUUCGGAUUUACUGGGCGUAAAGGGAGCGUAGGCGGCAAUUCAAGUCAGUUGUGAAAUCUCCGAGCUUAACUCGGAACGGUCAACUGAUACUGCUUUGCUAGAGUACAGAAGGGGCAAUCGGAAUUCUUGGUGUAGCGGUGAAAUGCGUAGAUAUCAAGAGGAAUACCUGAGGUGAAGACGGGUUGCUAGGCCGACACUGACGCUGAAGCGCGAAAGCCAGGGGAGCAAACGGG
rnacentral:rRNA from 1 species